AAGAACUGACAAUGAAAUGGUGCAUAAAAAUUGAGGAACGGCUGAACAAAUUAUGGUAUGUGAAUAUAAUAGAAACUAUGCACUGUAAUUAAUGAAGAAAGACUGUUUAGAGAGAUCUGGGAAGACUUUUAUGAACUACUGCGGGGAGAAACCCAGAGGGUAAUUGAAUGACUCCCCAAGAGGAACGGAGGUUUUAAAAGAGCUGCUGUCUGAUAUGUAGAAGGGCAAAUGGAAACUGGGCUACAGCACAUGAAAGCAUAUCUUCUCCUGCUCAGAAUAUAAACUUCUGUAUGCAAGGGCAGCAGCAUCCAAAGCAUGGUACCAUCCCAGUGACCUUCAGAAGUCUUUCUAACUCCCUACAUAUGGACAAGGUGAACUGUGUCUAGGAUUCAGAUACACUGGUCUCCUUGCUGUUCUUCACACAAGACAAUAAUUCAUCUUCCAGUUCCAUUCAUUUUCACUGGCUAUCAUCCAUCUGAAAGGUUCCUCUUCGUCAGCUCCUCCUCCCAGCUUCAAGACCACACAAAUUCAACCUUAUGUAAGAGGCCAUCCCCAUCUCAUCCCAUCUCCCCAGCUGCUAAUGACUUCAAUUCACCUACAAUUUACACUAUGUGUCCUGUAUGUGUAUAAUUGUUCAUGUUAUA